UUACGGGAGGCAGCAGUGGGGAAUUUUGGACAAUGGGCGCAAGCCUGAUCCAGCCAUUCCGCGUGAGUGAAGAAGGCCUUCGGGUUGUAAAGCUCUUUCGCAAGGGAAGAAAACUUAGCCACUAACAUUGGCUGAGGUUGACGGUACCUUGAUAAGAAGCACCGGCUAACUACGUGCCAGCAGCCGCGGUAAUACGUAGGGUGCGAGCGUUAAUCGGAAUUACUGGGCGUAAAGCGUGCGCAGGCGGUUUUGUAAGUCAGAUGUGAAAUCCCCGAGCUCAACUUGGGAACUGCGUUUGAAACUACAAGACUAGAAUAUGUCAGAGGGGGGUAGAAUUCCACGUGUAGCAGUGAAAUGCGUAGAGAUGUGGAGGAAUACCAAUGGCGAAGGCAGCCCCCUGGGAUAAUAUUGACGCUCAUGCACGAAAGCGUGGGGAGCAAACAGGAUUAGAUACCCCGGUAGC
rnacentral:rRNA from 1 species